rnacentral:misc_RNA from 1 species
AACUUUUGGCAAUGGAUCUCUUGGCUCUCGCAUCGAUGAAGAACACAGCGAAAUGUGAUACGUAAUGUGAAUUGCAGAAUUCAGUGAAUCAUCGAAUCUUUGAACGCACCUUGCACCCUUUGGUAUUCCAAAGGGUAUGCUCGUUUGAGUGUCAUUGUACUCUCAUACUCUCUGUUCUUAGGAUUGGGAGUGGUGGACUUGGGUGUUGCUGCUUCACUGUGGCUCACCUGAAAUGCAUUAGUGCAACUGUUGACUAACCAUAGUAUGGCAUGAUAAGCAUCUUUGCCAGCACCUCUCCGGAUGGUGGUCAGUCAAGAGCUCUGUGCUUCUAACUGUCUUUGGAAAAUGUUGACAACUUGACCUCAAAUCGAGUAGGACUACCCGCUGAACUUAAGCAUAUCAAUAAGCGGAGGCU